UUGUAGUAUAGUAGUAUGUAUUCCCGCCUGUCACGCGGGUGACUCAGGUUCGAUCCCUGGCAA
rnacentral:tRNA from 1 species